rnacentral:rRNA from 1 species
UGCGAAGGGUGCAAGCGUUACUCGGAAUUACUGGGCGUAAAGCGUGCGUAGGUGGUUCGUUAAGUCUGUCGUGAAAGCCCCGGGCUCAACCUGGGAAUGGCGAUGGAUACUGGCGGGCUAGAGUGCGGUAGAGGGUGGUGGAAUUCCCGGUGUAGCAGUGAAAUGCGUAGAGAUCGGGAGGAACAUCAGUUGCGAAGGCGGCCACCUGGACCAGCACUGACACUGAGGCACGAAAGCGUGGGGAGCAAACAGG